rnacentral:rRNA from 1 species
AAAGGCCCCUUCGGGGGCCGAGUAGAGUGGCGUCCGGGUGAGUAACACGUAGGUAAUCUACCUCUGGGUGGGGAAUAACGACCGGAAACGGUCGCUAAUACCGCAUAAUGCAGCGGCACCACAUGGUGACAGUUGUUAAAGCGGGGGAUCGCAAGACCUCGCGCCUAGAGAGGAGCCUGCGGCGGAUUAGCUAGUUGGCAGGGUAACGGCCUACCAAGGCGACGAUCCGUAGCCGGCCUGAGAGGGCGGUCGGCCACACUGGCACUGACAUACGGGCCAGACUCCUACGGGAGGCAGCAGUCGGGAAUUUUGGGCAAUGGGCGAAAGCCUGACCCAGCAACGCCGCGUGAAGGAUGAAGCUUUUCGGAGUGUAAACUUCAUAAGAAUGGGACGAAUAAGGAGGGGUUAACACCCCCUUUGAUGACGGUACCAUUUGUAAGCUCCGGCUAACUCCGUGCCAGCAGCCGCGGUAAUACGGGGGGAGCAAGCGUUGUUCGGAUUUACUGGGCGUAAAGGGCGCGUAGGCGGCGCAACAAGUCACUUGUGAAAUCUCCGGGCUUAACCCGGAGCGGCCAAGUGAUACUGUCGUGCUAGAGUGCGGAAGGGGCUACUGGAAUUCUCGGUGUAGCGGUGAAAUGCGUAGAUAUCGAGAGGAACACCUGCGGCGAAGGCGGGUAGCUGGGCCGACACUGACGCUGAGGCGCGAAAGCCAGGGGAGCGAACGGGAUUAGAUACCCCGGUAGUCCUGGCCUUAAACGAUGGAUACUUGGUGUCCGGGGUUACAUAGU